GAAAUGCGAUACGCAAUGCGAAUUGCAGAAUUCCGCGAGUCAUCAGAUCUUUGAACGCAGCCCGCGCCGGUGGGAUAUCCUGCUGGCAUGUUUGUUUCAGUGUGUUUGAUUUGCAUCACAUAUUUCAAUGCGAUUGAAUUUUUUUACAAAGAUUCUCUCGUUAAGCACGAGCGUUGCGGCGCGGAGUUCGCAAACAAUUGCGCGCGCAUCCUGACGAAGCGGUCACUGUUCAGCAGUGAUUUCGUCGGAUCGCUGGUAAUUUAUUAUCAGUGCUGGCUUAUAAUUUAUUAUAUUCCAGGCACGCACAAGAACUCACAGGGGAAUUCACUUCCUCUCCGCACACUAUUUCAUUAAAAAUCUUCACUUUGCACCUGAAAUCAAGCAAGACCACCCGCUGAAC
rnacentral:misc_RNA from 1 species